CUGCUGCCUUCCGUAGGAGUCUGGGCCGUGUCUCAGUCCCAAUNUGGCCGUUCAACCUCUCAGUCCGGCUACCGAUCGUCGGCUUGGUGAGCCGUUACCUCACCAACUACCUAAUCGGACGCGAGCCCAUCUUCGAGCGAUAAAAAUCUUUGAUACCAGCAGGAUGUCCUCCCGGUAUGUUAUGCGGUAUUAGCGACCGUUUCCAGCCGUUAUUCCCCUCUCGAAGGCAGGUUGCUCACGUNUUACUCCACCCGUCCG
rnacentral:rRNA from 1 species